rnacentral:lncRNA from 1 species
GUGUGCUCACCUGAGGUUCCAUCUCUCACCAGCCCAUUCCUCCAUGGACGCUGCCCCGUUUGAGUCCCAGGAAGGGAGAUUGGUGGCCCCUUGCCUGGAGAUGCAAAGUGAAAGGCAGGAGAGGCAGAGGCAGAUCAAGGAACUUCAGAAAGCAGCUUUUUUUCAAAGCCUUGGCUAGCCUGGCGUCCUCUAUAUGCAGUUAUUGACAGGCCCAUAUGAAGAAACACCAGAAGAAAACACCAGCUGGCAGGAGGAGACCCUGGCCCCGUUUCCUGGCUCUUCAGGGCAAAAGCAAACAGACUGGGCCAGCAGGCAGGUGGUGGGGACCUGCUCAGCAGCUCUGCAAAAGCAAACACCACACCUCCAGCACCCGGCCUUUUCCAAAGCCCGUCUUUGGUGCAGACCUCUGCAGGAGAAAGCCUUGCUGGAGGUCACAAAGCCGCCCCCUUGGCGCUGGCGCCAGCCACAUGCUGGCAGCACCCCCCCCCUCCGAUUCCAAACACCGCCUCCAGCGCAGGAGACAGCAGAGGAGGAAACACAGAGCUUCAAAAUUACCCAUCAGAGGGAAACCAGUGCCACACACCCCAUCAGCUCUGCAGUGGGAUCCAAACUCAAAGCAGGAAUAAAACUUCCCAACUCCACUGCAGCGAACUGAUCUGCACUGAGGACCUUACAUUGAGUAAGGGAGCAAGACGACCCGUGUAGGUUGCUUUGGACAAUGCAUUUCUUACUGUUGCACAUGGGAGACUCAGUGGCGUGCUAUAGACAUGUUUCUUCAUAGUAGCUGGAAAAUAGAAAGAAAUGGAUAAAAUACCAGAAAACCAAGGUCUUCUGCACAAUGACUGCUUGGUGGGUUGGACAAGGAGAUUAGGAUGUGUGUAGCCACCCCACACCAGGAGGAUUGGUGUGAGUAAUGCAAGGCAAGGAGAGUUUGAAUGGAGAUCCAUAAAGCAAAGAAAUGGAGCAGAAAGAGCCUCUGUGAUGGGGUUCACUUGGAACAAAUGCAAGAUAUCGUAAACUUGCAAAGAUCGUCAAAGAUCAUCACACAGAUGGGAUGGGUGCCAAUGAGCUAGGCAGCUACGCAGAAAUGCUCCUGGGGUCGUAGUGGAUCUAAAGGUGAAGGAGCACCAGUAUGAACAGCUAACAGGAGACAAAAGAGCAUCCCAAGAUGCUGCAUCAACAGGAAAGCUCUCUGGCAGAAAGACAUUUAAUGAUGGUCUUUGUUUAGGCAUUGGGCUGAGCUUGGGUUUGGGGGAACAAUGUUUUGGGGAGGGUGGAUGAAGAAGGGGAAGCAUGCAGACAAUUUGAAUGUGGAAAAGGCAGCUGGAAGGAGAAAGCAGCCAUCCCUCUCCAUGCCCACAUUGUGCCCAGGAGAAGUUGUGACCUGUAAAUUGCAGCAAGGGAGGUUUCAUUCAGUAAGUGGUGUCCCUGUGUCUUGGGGUCCUUCUGCUGUGGGAUGGUGCUCGAACGGUGGAAUGCUGAUGGGGCUGGCCAUGCUGCCACCCACACAGCACACUGCACCGUGGCAGGCCCAGGAACAUGGGCAGCAGUUGUCUGGCUCAGUUAAAGGCUGGAAAGAGCAACAGGACUAGCUGCCAAUGCCUAGUGCUAUGCAAUUUUGGAGAAGGUUAAGCCAGCAAGGAGCUGAGCAGGAA